rnacentral:rRNA from 1 species
CCCUUAGAUGUUCUGGGCCGCACGCGCGCUACACUGAUGCAUUCAACGAGUCUAAAACCUGCUCUGAUAGGGGUGGGUAAUCUUUUGAAUGUGCAUCGUGAUUGGGAUAGAUGAUUGCAAUUUUUCAUCUUCAACGAGGAAUGCCUAGUAAACGCAAGUCAUCAGCUUGCAUUGAUUACGUCCCUGCCCUUUGUACACACCGCCCGUCGCUCCUACCGAUUGAAUGAUCCGAUGAAUAUCCUGGAUUGAGGAUUAUAGCAGGUUCGCCUGUCUUGAUCUUCGAGAAGUGAAGUAAAUCUUAUCAUUUAGAGGAAGGAGAAGUCGUAACA